GACGAACCGUGCGAACGUUGUUCGGAAUCACUGGGCUUAAAGGGCGCGUAGGCGGGCUGACAAGUCUGGGGUGAAAUCCCACGGCUCAACCGUGGAACUGCUCGGUAUACUGGCGAUCUUGGGCCACUUAGGGGCUAGCGGAACAAACGGUGGAGCGGUGAAAUGCGUAGAUAUCGUUUGGAACGCCAAUGGUGAAAACAGCUAGCUGGGAGUGUGCCGACGCUGAGACACGAAAGCCAGGGGAGCGAACGGG
rnacentral:rRNA from 1 species